rnacentral:rRNA from 1 species
CCUACGGGAGGCAGCAGUGAGGAAUAUUGGUCAAUGGACGAGAGUCUGAACCAGCCAAGUAGCGUGAAGGAUGACUGCCCUAUGGGUUGUAAACUUCUUUUAUAAAGGAAUAAAACGAGGCACGUGUGCCUUUUUGCAUGUACCUUAUGAAUAAGGAUCGGCUAACUCCGUGCCAGCAGCCGCGGUAAUACGGAGGAUCCGAGCGUUAUCCGGAUUUAUUGGGUUUAAAGGGAGCGUAGAUGGGUUGUUAAGUCAGUUGUGAAAGUCUGCGGCUCAACCGUAAAAUUGCAAUUGAUACUGGCAGUCGUGAGUACAGUUGAGGUAGGCGGAAUUCGUGGUGUAGCGGUGAAAUGCUUAGAUAUCACGAAGAACCCCGAUUGCGAAGGCAGCUUACUAAACUGUGACUGACAUUGAUGCUCGAAAGUGUGGGUAUCAAACAGGAUUAGAUACCCGGGUAGUC